UGCAAGUCGGACGGGAUUUGGGAGCUUGCUCCUAAUGAGAGUGGCGCACGGGUGCGUAACACGUAUGUAACCUACCAUUGUCAGGGGGAUAGCCUCUCGAAAGAGAGAUUAACACCGCAUAACAUUACGAAUUAGCAUUAGUUUGUAAUCAAAUAUUUAUAGGACAAUGAUGGGCAUGCGGGACAUUAGCUAGAUGGUGAGGUAACGGCUCACCAUGGCGACGAUGUCUAGGGGAUCUGAGAGGAUGACCCCCCACACUGGUACUGAGACACGGACCAGACUCCUACGGGAGGCAGCAGUAAGGAAUAUUGGUCAAUGGAGGCAACUCUGAACCAGCCAUGCCGCGUGCAGGAAGACGGCCCUACGGGUUGUAAACUGCUUUUGUACCGGAAUAAACCCAGAUACGAGUAUUUGGCUGAAUGUACGGUAAGAAUAAGGAUCGGCUAACUCCGUGCCAGCAGCCGCGGUAAUACGGAGGAUCCAAGCGUUAUCCGGAUUUAUUGGGUUUAAAGGGUGCGUAGGCGGCUUAUUAAGUCAGGGGUGAAAGGCGGUAGCUUAACUAUCGGAGUGCCCUUGAUACUGAUGAGCUUGAAUGCAGCUGAGGUAGGCGGAAUGUGACAAGUAGCGGUGAAAUGCAUAGAUAUGUCACAGAACACCGAUUGCGAAGGCAGCUUACUAAAGUGCGAUUGACGCUGAGGCACGAAAGCGUGGGGAUCAAACAGGAUUAGAUACCCUGGUAGUCCACGCCCUAAACGAUGARUACUCGAUGUUGGCGAUAUACGGUCAGCGUCUAAGCGAAAGCGUUAAGUA
rnacentral:rRNA from 1 species